CAAGAAGCCCAACCCGUGUAGAAUGCCGGAAGAAAUCCCGCAUGGACAAUUAAUGUGAGGUUAGGCAAAGGCUUGCUUCUGGCAAUUCGUUCAGUUACGACCUACCGCAAACUCUGUAAGAGGUUUGAGUUGUAGCCCAUCCGUCAGGACUCCGAAGGUGGUGAACUAUACCUGAGUAGGCAAGGGUACUGACGCGCAAAUGGAUCGUCACGCUCGCGUAUAGAGGCAGAGUCAUGGAUCCACCUGGUUGCUGGUUUCUUACGAAGUUUCCCGCAGGGUAUCUGGGGUUCACUUAGUCUUUUCUUAUCAGCCGAAUAUUUGAAUGCCUCGGGGUUACGUUGGCCCCGGCCUGUUCUCAACGCUCAACGUUUAGACAGAAGACGCCGUGUUUACCUCCUUGAGGUGCUGGGCUUAAUAUGAACUCCAUGUGGGGCAUUUUCGCAUAUCCAGCAAUGAGGUAUGCUCCUCACGCCUACGCCUGGUUAAUGUGCCCAAAGAGUACCCCAUCAGACACUGGAAAAGCUCUUGCUUUAUUUUGAUAGCAAGACGGUGGUCAUGAACGCCGACAUCCACAAUGUUGCGCGUUGCCCAAUGCUCCAGCCCUGAUGUUGGAUGCCCCUGCAGCGAGCUACCAAAAAAUGGGCGUCAUCGAAUAUUUUCAGGACUCGACUUUUGGCGGUAGCGGGUAAGAAGACAGGCACAAGACUGCUUUCCAAGACGGCGUUCGCAAACUAAAGCGCAUACGCACGCCUUUCUUG
rnacentral:ncRNA from 1 species